rnacentral:rRNA from 1 species
GACGAACGCUGGCGGUGUGCUUAACACAUGCAAGUGGUGCGACGAACCAGAGCUUGCUCUGGGGCAAAGCCGCGAACGGGUGAGUAACACGUGGGUAAUCUACCCCGAUGACCGGGACAACCCGAGGAAACUCGGGCUAAUACCGGAUGUGGUACGGAGACAUAAGUCUCUUUACUAAAGGUAGCUUCGGCUUCCGCAUUGGGAGGGGCCCGCGGCCCAUUAGCUAGUUGGUGGGGUCAAGGCCUACCAAGGCAACGAUGGGUAGCUGGUCUGAGAGGACGAUCAGCCACACUGGGACUGAGACACGGCCCAGACUCCUACGGGAGGCAGCAGUGGGGAAUCUUGCGCAAUGCGCGAAAGCGUGACGCAGCAACACCGCGUGAGGGAAGACGGCCUUAGGGUUGUAAACCUCUUUCAGAUGGGACGAAGGUGAUGCGGUGAAUAGCCGAUGUCAUUGACGGUACCGUCAGAAGAAGCUCCGGCUAACUACGUGCCAGCAG